rnacentral:rRNA from 1 species
AUUGAACGCUGGCGGCAGGCUUAACACAUGCAAGUCGAGCGGGGUGAUGGUGCUUGCACUAUCACUUAGCGGCGGACGGGUGAGUAAUGCUUAGGAAUCUGCCUAUUAGUGGGGGACAACAUCUCGAAAGGGAUGCUAAUACCGCAUACGUCCUACGGGAGAAAGCAGGGGAUCACUUGUGACCUUGCGCUAAUAGAUGAGCCUAAGUCGGAUUAGCUAGUUGGUGGGGUAAAGGCCUACCAAGGCGACGAUCUGUAGCGGGUCUGAGAGGAUGAUCCGCCACACUGGGACUGAGACACGGCCCAGACUCCUACGGGAGGAAGCAGUGGGGAAUAUUGGACAAUGGGGGGAACCCUGAUCCAGCCAUGCCGCGUGUGUGAAGAAGGCCUUAUGGUUGUAAAGCACUUUAAGCGAGGAGGAGGCUCUUUUGGUUAAUACCCAAGAUGAGUGGACGUUACUCGCAGAAUAAGCACCGGCUAACUCUGUGCCAGCAGCCGCCGUAA